rnacentral:rRNA from 1 species
GGGGAAUAUUGGACAAUGGGCGAAAGCCUGAUCCAGCAAUGCCGCGUGAGUGAAGAAGGCCUUAGGGUUGUAAAGCUCUUUUACCCGGGAUGAUAAUGACAGUACCGGGAGAAUAAGCUCCGGCUAACUCCGUGCCAGCAGCCGCGGUAAUACGGAGGGAGCUAGCGUUGUUCGGAAUCACUGGGCGUAAAGCGCACGUAGGCGGCUUUGUAAGUUAGAGGUGAAAGCCCGGGGCUCAACUCCGGAACUGCCUUUAAGACUGCAUCGCUUGAAUCUGGGAGAGGUAAGUGGAAUUCCGAGUGUAGAGGUGAAAUUCGUAGAUAUUCGGAAGAACACCAGUGGCGAAGGCGGCUUACUGGACCAGAAUUGACGCUGAGGUGCGAAAGCGUGGGGAGCAAAC